rnacentral:rRNA from 1 species
AACGAACGCUGGCGGCAUGCCUAACACAUGCAAGUCGAACGAGACCUUCGGGUCUAGUGGCGCACGGGUGCGUAACGCGUGGGAACCUGCCCUUAGGUUCGGAAUAACUCCCCGAAAGGGGUGCUAAUACCGGAUAAUGUCUUCGGACCAAAGAUUUAUCGCCUUUGGAUGGGCCCGCGUUGGAUUAGCUAGUUGGUAGGGUAAAAGCCUACCAAGGCGACGAUCCAUAGCUGGUCUGAGAGGAUGAUCCGCCACACUGGGGAUGAGGCACGGCCCAGACUGCUACGGGAGGGAGGAGAGGGGAAAAUUGGACAAGGGGCGAAAGCCUAGUACAGCAACGCCGGGGGAGGGGUGAAGGGCUUAGGGGUGUAAAGCUCUUUUACCCGGGAUGAUAAUGACAGUACCGGGAGAAUAAGCUCCGGCUAACUCCGUG